rnacentral:rRNA from 1 species
UACGGGGGGGGCAAGCGUUGUUCGGAAUUACUGGGCGUAAAGGGCUCGUAGGCGGCCAACUAAGUCAGACGUGAAAUCCCUCGGCUUAACCGGGGAACUGCGUCUGAUACUGGAUGGCUUGAAUCCGGGAGAGGGAUGCGGAAUUCCAGGUGUAGCGGUGAAAUGCGUAGAUAUCUGGAGGAACACCGGUGGCGAAGGCGGCAUCCUGGACCGGCAUUGACGCUGAGGAGCGAAAGCCAGGGGAGCCAAACGGG